rnacentral:rRNA from 1 species
UACGGGAGGCAGCAGUGGGGAAUCUUGCGCAAUGGGCGAAAGCCUGACGCAGCCAUGCCGCGUGAAUGAUGAAGGUCUUAGGAUUGUAAAAUUCUUUCACCGGGGACGAUAAUGACGGUACCCGGAGAAGAAGCCCCGGCUAACUUCGUGCCAGCAGCCGCGGUAAUACGAAGGGGCUAGCGUUGCUCGGAAUUACUGGGCGUAAAGGGCGCGUAGGCGGAUCGUUAAGUCAGAGGUGAAAUCCCAGGGCUCAACCCUGGAACUGCCUUUUGAUACUGGCGAUCUUGAGUAUGAGAGAGGUAUGUGGAACUCCGAGUGUAGAGGUGAAAUUCGUAGAUAUUCGGAAGAACACCAGUGGCGAAGGCGACAUACUGGCUCAUUACUGACGCUGAGGCGCGAAAGCGUGGGGAGCAAACAGGGAUUAGAUACC